rnacentral:rRNA from 1 species
UACGAAGGGGGCUAGCGUUGUUCGGAAUCACUGGGCGUAAAGCGCACGUAGGCGGAUCUUUAAGUCAGGGGUGAAAUCCCGAGGCUCAACCUCGGAACUGCCUUUGAUACUGGCGGUCUCGAGUCCGGGAGAGGUGAGUGGAACUGCGAGUGUAGAGGUGAAAUUCGUAGAUAUUCGCAAGAACACCAGUGGCGAAGGCGGCUCACUGGCCCGGUACUGACGCUGAGGUGCGAAAGCGUGGGGAGCAAACAGG